AAGUACGAACGCGAAAGUCCUUCGGGGCGAGUAGAGUGGCGGACGGGUGAGUAACGCGUGGGAAUCUACCCUAGAGCGGGGGACAACCCGGGGAAGCUCGGGCUAAUACCGCAUACGUCCUACGGGAGAAAGAGGGCCUCUGCUUGCACGCUCUCACUCCAGGAUGAGCCCACGUCCGAUUAGCUAGUUGGUAGGGUAAAGGCCUACCAAGGCCACGAUCGGUAGCUGGUCUGAGAGGAUGAUCAGCCACACUGGGACUGAGACACGGCCCAGACUCCUACGGGAGGCAGCAGUGGGGAAUAUUGGACAAUGGGCGCAAGCCUGAUCCAGCAAUGCCGCGUGUGUGAAGAAGGCCUGCGGGUUGUAAAGCACUUUCAGUGGGGAAGAACAGAUUCGGGUCAAUACCCCGGAGCCCUGACGUUACCCACAGAAGAAGCACCGGCUAACUCCGUG
rnacentral:rRNA from 1 species